rnacentral:rRNA from 1 species
UACGUAGGGUGCAAGCGUUUGUCCGGAAUUAUUGGGCGUAAAGAGCUCGUAGGCGGUCUGUUGCGUCGGCUGUGAAAACCCGAGGCUCAACCUCGGGCCUGCAGCCGAUACGGGCAGACUAGAGUUCGGCAGGGGAGACUGGAAUUCCUGGUGUAGCGGUGAAAUGCGCAGAUAUCAGGAGGGAACACCGGUGGGCGAAGGCGGGUCUCUGGGCAGUAACUGACGCUGGAGGA